CCUACGGGUGGCAGCAGUGGGGAAUAUUGCGCAAUGGGCGAAAGCCUGACGCAGCGACGCCGCGUGAGGGAUGAAGGUCUUCGGAUCGUAAACCUCUGUCAGCAGGGAAGAACGGUCACUGUGCUAAUCAGCAGUGAAUUGACGGUACCUGCAAAGGAAGCACCGGCUAACUCCGUGCCAGCAGCCGCGGUAAUACGGAGGGUCCGAGCGUUAAUCGGAAUUACUGGGCGUAAAGCGCUCGUAGGAGGUAGGUCAAGUCAAGGGUGAAAGCCCCGCGCUCAACGUGGGAACUGCAUUUGAAACUGGCAAACUGGAGUGUGUGAGAGGAUAGUGGAAUUCCAGGUGUAGGAGUGAAAUCCGUAGAUAUCUGGAGGAACAUCAGUGGCGAAGGCGACUAUCUGGCACAUAACUGACGCUGAGGAGCGAAAGCGUGGGUAGCAAACAGGAUUAGAUACCCGGGUAGUC
rnacentral:rRNA from 1 species